AGCAGCCGCGGUAAUUCCAGCUCCAAUAGCGUAUAUUAAAGUUGUUGCAGUUAAAAAGCUCGUAGUUGAAUUUCGAGACCGGUUUACUGGUCGUGCUUUUGUACGUACUGGUAUUAUUGGUUUCUCCUUUCUGACGAACUAUAAUGCCAUUAAUUUGGUGUUUUAGGGAAUCAGGACUGUUACUUUGAAAAAUUAGAGUGUUUAAAGCAGGCUCACGCUUGAAUACAUUAGCAUGGAAUAACGGAAUAGGACGUUUGAUUCUAUUUUGUUGGUUUCUAGGAUCGACGUAAUGAUUAAUAGGGAUAGUUGGGGGCAUUAGUAUUCAAUUGUCAGAGGUGAAAUUCUUGGAUUUAUUGAAGACUAACUACUGCGAAAGCAUUUGCCAAGGAUGUUUUCAUUAAUCAAGAACGAAAGUUAGGGGAUCGAAGACGAUCAGAUACCGUCGUAGUCUUAACCAUAAACUAUGCCGAUAGGGAUCGGAUGAUGUUAAU
rnacentral:rRNA from 1 species